GAUGAACGCUGGCGGCGUGCCUAAUACAUGCAAGUCGAGCGAACAGAUAAGGAGCUUGCUCCUUUGACGUUAGCGGCGGACGGGUGAGUAACACGUGGGUAACCUACCUAUAAGACUGGGAUAACUUCGGGAAACCGGAGCUAAUACCGGAUAACAUUUGGAUCCGCAUGGUUCUAAAGUGAAAGAUGGUUUUGCUAUCACUUAUAGAUGGACCCGCGCCGUAUUAGCUAGUUGGUAAGGUAACGGCUUACCAAGGCGACGAUACGUAGCCGACCUGAGAGGGUGAUCGGCCACACUGGAACUGAGACACGGUCCAGACUCCUACGGGAGGCAGCAGUAGGGAAUCUUCCGCAAUGGGCGAAAGCCUGACGGAGCAACGCCGCGUGAGUGAUGAAGGGUUUCGGCUCGUAAAACUCUGUUAUUAGGGAAGAACAAAUGUGUAAGUAACUGUGCACGUCUUGACGGUACCUAAUCAGAAAGCCACGGCCAACUACGUG
rnacentral:rRNA from 1 species